rnacentral:rRNA from 1 species
GGAUAACGCCUGGAAACAGGUGCUAAUACCGCAUAACAGAAGGGGACGCAUGUUUCUUUCUUGAAAACUCCGGUGGUACGGGAUGGACCCGCGUCUGAUUAGCUGGUUGGCGGGGUAACGGCCCACCAAGGCGACGAUCAGUAGCCGGCCUGAGAGGGCGGACGGCCACAUUGGGACUGAGACACGGCCCAAACUCCUACGGGAGGCAGCAGUGGGGAAUAUUGCACAAUGGGGGAAACCCUGAUGCAGCGACGCCGCGUGAGUGAAGAAGCGUUUCGGCGCGUAAAGCUCUGUCAGCGGGGAAGAAACACGGUUCGCGAGAGCCGCGGACGGUACCCGACCAAGAAGCCCCGGCUAACUACGUGCCAGCAGCCGCGGUAAUACGUAGGGGGCAAGCGUUAUCCGGAUUCACUGGGUGUAAAGGGAGCGUAGACGGCGAGACAAGUCUGGAGUGAAAGGCCGGGGCCCAACCCCGGGACUGCUCUGGAAACUGCCUGGCUGGAGUACAGGAGAGGUAAGUGGAAUUCCUAGUGUAGCGGUGAAAUGCGUAGAUAUUAGGAGGAACACCAGUGGCGAAGGCGGCUUACUGGACUGUAACUGACGUUGAGGCUCGAAAGCGUGGGGAGCAAACAGGAUUAGAUACCCUGGUAGUCCACGCCGUAAACGAUGAUCACUAGGUGUCGGGGGUUAGAAGGCCCCCGGU